rnacentral:rRNA from 1 species
GGGGCAGCGCAGUGUAGCACUACAUGGGCGGCGACCGGCAAACGGGUGCGGAACACGUACGCAACCUUCCUUCAAGUGGAGCAUAGCUUUCGGAAGCGAGAAAUUAAUACUCCGUAAUAAUAUUGGGUGGCAUCACUUAAUAUUUAUAGAUCCGUCGCUUGAAGAUGGGCGUGCGCCUGAUUAGGUAGUUGGCGGGGUAAUGGCCCACCAAGCCUACGAUCAGUAACUGGUGUGAGAGCACGACCAGGCCACGGGCACUGAGACACGGGCCCGACUCCUACGGGAGGCAGCAGUAAGGAAUAUUGGUCAAUGGACGCAAGUCUGAACCAGCCAUGCCGCGUGGAGGAUGAAGGUCCUCUGGAUUGUAAACUUCUUUUAUCGGAGAAGAAACCCCAGAUAUCUAUUUGGGUUGACGGUACCCGAUGAAUAAGCACCGGCUAACUCCGUGCCAGCAGCCGCGGUAAUACGGAGGGUGCAAGCGUUAUACGGAUUCACUGGGUUUAAAGGGUGCGUAGGUGG